GCACUGCUGAGGCGUCCCAAAAUAGGACGAAACGCUCGUCCAGUAC
rnacentral:hammerhead_ribozyme from 1 species